UGGGGAAUAUUGCACAAUGGGCGCAAGCCUGAUGCAGCCAUGCCGCGUGUGUGAAGAAGGCCUCGGGUUGUAAAGCACUUUCAGCGAGGAGGAAGGUGGUGAGCUUAAUACGCUCAUCAAUUGACGUUACUCGCAGAAGAAGCACCGGCUAACUCCGUGCCAGCAGCCGCGGUAAUACGGAGGGUGCAAGCGUUAAUCGGAAUUACUGGGCGUAAAGCGCACGCAGGCGGUUUGUUAAGUCAGAUGUGAAAUCCCCGGGCUCAACCUGGGAACUGCAUUUGAAACUGGCAAGCUAGAGUCUCGUAGAGGGGGGUAGAAUUCCAGGUGUAGCGGUGAAAUGCGUAGAGAUCUGGAGGAAUACCGGUGGCGAAGGCGGCCCCCUGGACGAAGACUGACGCCCAGGUGCGAAAGCGUGGGGAGCAAAACAGGAUUAGAUACCCUGGUAGUCCACGCUGUAAACGAUGUCGAUUUUGGAGGUUGUGCCCUUGAGGCGUGGCUUCCGGAGCUAACGCGUUAAAGUCGACCG
rnacentral:rRNA from 1 species